rnacentral:lncRNA from 1 species
AACAGUUCCCAGACAUGAGUGAUAGCAUUUGAAGGAAAACACAGAAAGCAGGAAGAAAAGGGAUACUGGAAAAAUGCUUGGAAUGGAUUCUUGAUGAAGUUCACCACAGGCACGUGCAGCGACUCGGUGGUUCACAGCUGUGACCUGUGUGGCAAGGGCUUCCGUCUGCAGCGCAUGCUGAACCGUCACCUCAAGUGCCACAACCAGGUGAAAAGACA